UGCAUCGGCCGGGAAUCGAACCCUGGCCGCCCGCGUGGCAGACGAGCAUUCUACCACUGAACCACCGAUGC
rnacentral:tRNA from 1 species